UACAGAGGUCUCAAGCGUUGUUCGGAUUCAUUGGGCGUAAAGGGUGCGUAGGUUGUAGGGUAAGUUGGAUGUGAAAUCCCGGAGCUUAACUCCGGAACUGCAUUCAAUACUGCUUUACUAGAGUACUGGAGAGGAGAUUGGAAUUCACGGUGUAGCAGUGAAAUGCGUAGAUAUCGUGAGGAAGACCAGUGGCGAAGGCGAAUCUCUGGACAGUUACUGACACUGAGGCACGAAGGCCAGGGGAG
rnacentral:rRNA from 1 species